CCUGGAUUGAUUAACAGAAGAUUGCGGCAAACGCGGGGAGUAAUAUUUUCCAGCGCUUUAUCAUUUUGCUAGCCUGAUGCUCUGUGGCUUCUCACCCUGCUUGAGAUUCUGACCCUCCCCCUUCGUUUCCCAUUCCUUCCUACUCGCGGCUCUCUCUUCUCCUCUCCCCUUUGCCCCCUCCCUGCUCCCUCCGUCUCUCACACACAUUUCCUCUCUCAGACACUCACACACACACGAGCGCACAGACUGCGAAAGAAGGGGGCAGGGGGAGUAGUGGAGACACGAUGCCUGAAAAAACGUGAGCGAGGGAAAGAGAGAGCGAGAGAGAGAGAAAGAGAGAGAGAGAAUAGGGAUGUUGAAGGCUAGGGAUGGUUUGAGAGGGAAAAAGCAAGAGAGUUUGAGAUUGGGGACAAGGGAUGCGAGUGCCUGAGAUGCUGAGAGAAGACAGAGAGUGAUGGAGGCAGAAAACGUGAGUGUGUGUCUGACACUCGUGGUGCUGUAGACUAUGGGAUUGCUGUAGGGGAGAGGUGACCAGACACUUAGAUCAGACCUACAGAGUGUGGAGCGGAUGGACAUUUUCUCCUUUUCUGUUUCGUACGGUGUCUUUGUCUCAUCAGGUUCAACUUUUUUCUAGUCGGACACGUUUACGCAUCCUUCAUGCAGCUUGUGAAUGGUUUUUUUCAUCUUAGACGUUUAGUUUUUGACAGACUUUACACACCGACAUGCACUUUUUGUCGCCGCAAAGGUUGACAUUGUCAAAGUCUGCAUGUUCCUGAUGCCACGAUAAGGUAGAGCAUGUCAUUCUGGAUUUUUGCCAUUCGCCCCAGCUACAUCAUCAUGCCAUUUUUAGCACUUGUGUUUGUCAGACAGUUUAUUGUAGGGCUUGUGAUUGACACACCUGUGCACAUGCAUGUUUGUAAGACAUUUAUGAAAUGCAUUUAAUAAAAGCGUUUAUUUU
rnacentral:lncRNA from 1 species